GCUUCUAUGCACAUUAGGCUAGGUAUUCCACUUUGAAAGCAUGAGAGUGUCUAGGCCUUUGAAUGGCAUAUGCCAUUUCUGGGAAAUGUAUUUGUAGGCUAAGUAUUGCUUUCUACAUUUAAGUAUCCCCUUGUUUUAAAAAGAAGAAAUGCAUAUUGAAGUAGUUUCAUGAUUUGAUUUGUUUGGCAUUAUAGGAAGCAAGCUGGUGCUAAGUAUUUUUAAAUGGCUAUGUAAGCAAAGCUGAACUGUAAAUCUUCCUUCAGGAUUGUGUACUAAGAUUAUGGAAUGGGUGUAAGAUUAUUGACAGGGGGAGAAAGUGGGAAUGACUGAAUGGAUCUUUUAUGGCCUUAUGAUCUAUUCUUUCCUUGAGAGUUUCUGAAGAAAAAGUGGAAAGAUCAUUUUGUUGCAUUCCUCCAUUCUUGUUUUUUAAGGAACAAGUCCCAAGCCCUACAAAUGGCUUGUAUUGAACUUCAUAUUUGAAUUAAAGAUUGUUAAACAUGAAAUCUUUUCAUGUAUUACUUUAAGUGGUCUUUAAAGAUGGGGUUUAGUCUGAAAAAUUCAACUGGAAAGAAGUGUAGUAUCCAUAAAGUAGGUUUAGCUGUAUAUACAUUUGUACUCUGUAACUUUUACAUCUCCUUGUGCUACUUCUUUUGGGCAAAAUCUGUAGGACUAUAAAAAAAACCUAUUCUCUUUUCUAAGAGCUGGUGGUGACUUAAUAACAAGUAGGGUUGCAGACAACCAUUCUUACUGUGAAAUAUUUUUUAAUCUGCUUUUCCAUAGUUUUCUUCUGAUGUAGCACUAAAUCUGGAGAGAGUUGCUCAUGCUACACAGUACAAAUAUACCUUCCUCCCAGUGUAAAGCUUUGGAGUGUUUCGAUGGUGUUGUCAGUUUAUCGUCAACUUCAUUGAAUCUCCUUCCAUUAGAAUGACAGACAUUUUGACUUAAUAUUAAAGUAGAUCAUUACUGUUGUCUAUUGGUACUGUGGGAACCUGCUUUCCCAGUGUAUAUUGUUAGCAGAGGAAUAACUUUCUAAAAGUAGUAGGUAAAGUAAUUGAAUGGUUUGGCUUUGUUCUUAGUUACGUUUCCAUUCAAAUUUGUACAUUAUCGAACUCUUAUUACGGAAUAUGUCUUUCUCUUUUUCACCUCUGUUGGUGUUAAUUGGCAAAAGCAAAGUUCUAAAUCAAAUCUUUGUUAAAAUGCUGAAGGUUUAGUAUUGUGCCUGAGUACAAGGGGAAACCUAUUGUUGAAUCAAUUGAGCACUUUGCAUAGGAAACCUGAUAAUACUAAAAGUAAAACGCUAGUGGAAUAUGAAGGCAUGCCACUAAAUUCUGCUUGUGUGACUGACGGGUACCUGGUGUGCUAAUUAAGGGAGAGAAUCUCAUUAGAAAAUGUUCACUGUUUUAUUCAUCAAGACACUUGGAAAUGGGUAGCUCUACCAUAAUUAUAUCAAUGAGGAAGUUUUGUCUGAAGUCAAGUUAUUAAUUGGUAAUAAUGUAUGAGAUUUUCAGUACCGGAAACAAGGGUCUUGAUUUGAACGGAGUCCAUUACAAUUUGAUUGAAUUGUAUGGUAGGGACUCCACUAAUGAUAAGAAAAUAAGGGGUGUUCAUGGGACACCCACAAAGGGUGAACUUGAAUGUGUGGGCGGGGGCUGGUGGGGAAGUGGGAAAAAUCUGCCUGUAAAAUUAAUGUUUCAGUUUAUUUUUCAGAUUACAUGCCUUUCUUUAUAAGGGAUGCUGGCACAGACCCCUAAAAUAAACUUUUGGUAGUACUGUACCUUUGAAGAGUGGUGAAGGAUGCUAAAGGAUAAUCUCCUGAAAGUUGUGGUUUUGAUAGCUUUACUGUGUAGAAUCGCUAAACUGUUGUUUAGCAAAUAAUGUUGCUUAGUUUCAACUAAGUUUUGACUUUCAUCACUUGAAACAGCAGUGUACCAAGGGUCGUACGCUACUCAAAUAGACUUUCAACAAGUCUUGCAAUGAUGUAUAUGAUAGUUCUUAGCCUAAUGUGAAUUUAAAUCAUCUUAAAAAGUAGUUUCCAAAAAGCUGAUAUGAAACUUGGGGUGGGAAAGGGUAGGUAGUACUUUUGAAGUAUUGUUAGUAAUUUUUCUCACUUAGAGAAACCACCUGCCCCCAUUUCCUCUUCUCCACUUUCUCUUAUAAUAAUUUUGUUUUAAGAGGAACACUGAUUGUUUUUGAACUACUUAUUUCUAAACUGCGUUCUCUAAGAGUUCCCAGUGUAUUUAAUAGGUAUUUUAGAAGCUUAACCCAUUGGCUCACGUUUAGUGAAACCAUAUUCUCUGCUUAGAACACUAAUUAAACUUAGAAGUGCUAUAUAUAAACCCCACCACUCUCUUUAGAUGUAUUAUACCACUAAUAUAAACAGGUAAUAAUUUGGGAAAUUGUAAUGUUACGCCUGUGCAAUUUUUAUAAGUGGCAUAUUAUGGCAGAUAAAAAUUUAGAUACUUGGCUUUUCUUGGGCAAGCCACUAAGCUGUGGCGGAAUAUUUUCUGGUGUUCUUGGACUGCAAUUAUGCACUAUUAAAGUAGUGGCCUGCUACAUAACUGCAUUUAGCCAGCAUUUCUGCAGUGCGUAACUGUGAGGAACGUAGUACCGCAAAUGGCAAUGGACAUUAGGACCCGGAUGUAGUAUUCCUGCUUGCUCCAAGAUUCUCAUUGCCGACUGCAUACAGGUAGGUAACAAGCAAUAUAAUCUAACUUGGUGACUUGCUAUGUACUUUUAUUCCGUGGGCAUUCUGACAUCAUACUUCUGACAAUGAAAUUACAGUGCAGCACCUAACACUUGUAUGAUAAAGCUAGCUUAUAUCAAAACUGCGUGGGUUUGGGUUUAGAGCUGUAAUCUUGUCAGGCAGAAUUCAGUGCUGUUGCAGUUCUCAGAUAAAAAGUGCAAACUUGAUUAUUUGGUAUGUCUGAUUGAGUUGUGUGGUUUUCUUUAGUUGCAUUGUAACUGAAGAUAACAUGGAACACAUCAGUGGUGUGGGGGAGAGGGAACCAUACCAUACUUGGGAAGUAGAGUGCUUUUAGCAUCUUGACACAGACUGUAUAGCAUGUGAUAAUUAGUCUCUGUUGCAGCAAACUGACCUGCCCAUAGGUCAGCAAUAUCAGUAAUUUCAGAGUGUAAUCUUGGUAAUUACUGUGCAGGUUGAGUGAAUUAAGACUAAAAGUACAGUUUUUUUUUUGCAGUGUGAUUUAAAAUUUUAAAUGGGCUCCAUGGGAACGCUCGUUACUAACUUGGGCAUAGGUGGGACGCUAACAUGUAUAGUUCAAAGUUCUGUGAUUUGUCUAAACAUGUCUGUACUCUAAACCUGGGGAAAAGCGAUGUAGCAUGUUGACUUGACUAUUGAAUACAUGUUGGGAAUCAUUUCCCAAUCAUAAGACUUCGUCGUAUUCUGUAGGAUAAUUGCAAAUGUUCAGAGUAGCUUUUUGAAUUUGGUUCCCUUAGCUUUAGGGACGUGAUGUUACAAUCCAAAAUGUUUUAAUCACCAAAACAAUACGUUUUCAAAAGCACCUUCCUUUGUUGCUUAGGACUUAAGCUUUGCAUCGACUGUUGUUCCAGACCUCAAUUCAACUGAACUUUGGUCUAUGAACUGGUUUUUAGCUAGCAUGCAUGAGAAACAGCUUUCAUGUAUAAUGUUUUCUGUUCUGUAACUGGAAAGGUUGGUUUACUUUGCAUAAAUGUUGGUGAAUACACGACUAUGAGAAUUUUCUUUCCUUGUAUCAAGAAAAAUGGCUUGCUCUUGGCAAGCAAUUCACAAGGUGGGGACAAAUUUGUACUUUCAAUUGUAGUCCAUUCAACCAAAUGACUUGAUUCUCCUGUUAGAUGAAAGUUGCAAAUGGUGACUAGUUUAGCUCUCUAUUUUAAUACAAUGCAGAUCAAACGUAAUGCUCAGUAGUAGGGACAAAGAGGGUCACUAAAUUGGCAUACAACCCUGAUGGGGUUUUCCUGGGGCAUAAUCCGUUAAAUCGGUGGCCAUCACUGGCUGCCGUGGUUCAGUGAUUGUUUAGAAAUAAAAGCUCAGGUUUAUUUCUUAACAGUCAAUAACAGUUUUGAGAGAAUGUACUUGUUACAAUAUAUGGACUUCAGGAACAUCUUUGGGGUGGGGGGUUAAAUUUUGCUUCAUUCUGCUUAUUUCAAGAUGGAAAGGCUUUUGCACUUUCGAUGAGAAACCUGUGACUUAAGUCAAUUCUUAAUAGUUUUGAUUUGUAUGUAGCUAUAAUUUGUGAAUCUUAGUGCAGAGGGUCUCUUAAAAACACUCAGUCAAAAAGCUGGGGAUAAAUGGGUUUCAGUAAUAACUCUAUAUACUGAGGUGCUCGCAUUGUAUUUCAUAAUCUUUUCUUGUUACAAACCCAAAUUAUUAUUUUUAAUGAUAAUGGUCUGAAGUUCAGAGGUGUGAUGCCAGAAUGCAUUUUCGUACUGUUAGGCCCUUGGAACAGAUGCCGGUGCUUUAUGAAAGAUGAAAGAAAUGCAAUGGGUGCUCUUCACAUAAGGUUGCAAAACCAACAAAGAAUGCAUAAUAGCCUCACUUUUCCCCAAUAAAGAUAUGCGUGUGACUAGUUUUGGACUUUUAACCUUAAUGGGGGUUGCAUGUCUCCUAUUGUUAAUCAUUGUCAGCUGCAGUGACAUGAUCCACAGUCCUGCAUUUACUGCCUUUCCCUUAAUGAUUUUGGACAGGUUUUAGAGAGCCAGGAUGUUUGUUCUGGGCCUUUACUUGGUUUUGGCUUUAGCUGAUGUUUCAGUGCUCUGUCAGCUAGUGCAGUUCUCAAAUGGCUGCCUAUUAGGGAAAGAAUUCAGAGGAUUUGGCCGUUCCUAAUCAUCUGUCAUUGCUGCUAGAUAAUGAUUGGCAAUUUUUAAGACUCAACUGUGGAAAUGUCACAGUUGUUGGUAAACCAUGAAACAUUAAUGUUGCUUUUGAACACCAGUACUGAAAAGAUUUUAUUUGGAGGGUGACUAGGGGGCUGGAUGCAGGAUAGGAUAAUCUGGAGAAUGGAGGAAGAAUGCAAAACGAUAUAGUAUCCCUUAUGGAUGGUACAUGUGCAACAGGGAACUAUUUCAUUCACCCUUGGCAGUCACUGAUAAUCAGGAAGGAAGAAAAACCUGGAACUUGAAUUAAGGCUGAUCUUUCUGGUUUUUGUGCAUUGUGGCCCUGCCAGGCAUACAGAGUGAAGUCUUCUGUAGUGAUGUCUCUUAUCCCUCAGAAAAACUCAGGUUCCUUGCUGUCCCAAUAAGGCAUAGCUUCCCUGCCCCAACGUAAAACUCAGGACUUAAGGGGAAAGAAUGAGGCAAAUAUAUAGGAUUGCAGGAAAACAACUACAUUGUGUACUAUGGAAUGGGGAGGGCACUCUUGGAGGACUCCUGAUGAAGGUGGAUAGUCCACGUGAGAAUGGAAGACAUACUGGGUGGGGAUCAGGGUAUGUGCUUUUACAUGAAAAGAGCUGAUGUUAAAACUCAUUUGGUAAGGUUAACGUUGUCACAUACCUUCACAUAAGGGAUAGUAUAUUUUGGGUUGCAGUCAAACUUCAUUGUGCUCAGACUGGUGGAAAUAGCAGUUAGGCUUUUGUAUUUUAAAGAAGAUACAGUUUUCAUUCUAAUUCAGGUGUCUGCUACUAUCUUACGAAUGAUUUUAGAUUUUUUCCCGCCCCAUGAAGUUUCUUCCUAUUUUUUUAUGCUGUAACUUGCCCCCAAUCUUUAUCUCUGGAAUUUUACUCUUUAAAUUUUGAAGUUAACUAGCAUUUUCAAAUCUUUAUACCCUUGUCUUUUAUAUUAACUUUUUCUUAUUAUUCUUUAGGUAAGAAUGAUUGAUGUUGGCUGAUCCUGGAGUGUUCAUUCACUUGAAGUGGGUAAGAUAGUCUCAAGACAUCACACAGCAUGAGCUGAUCAAGAAAGCAAGCCACAACUUGUUAGACUGAUGAAGUGUCUAGGAUCAGGUGAACUGUGUCCCGAAAACCAGUGAGGAAGAGGGCAAAGAGGAAUGAACAACAACCUGUUGUUUAAUAAAGACAUUUUGAAAUUAGA